rnacentral:rRNA from 1 species
UACGUAGGGUGCGAGCGUUAAUCGGAAUUACUGGGCGUAAAGCGCACGUAGGUGGCGACGUAAGUCGGGUGUGAAAGCCCCCGGGCUCAACCUGGGAAUUGCAUUCGAGACUGCAUUGCUGGAGUACGGAAGAGGAGGGCGGAAUUCCCGGUGUAGCGGUGAAAUGCGUAGAUAUCGGGAGGAACAUCAGUGGCGAAGGCGGCCCUCUGGUCCAGUACUGACACUCAAGUGCGAAAGCGUGGGGAGCAAACAGG